rnacentral:lncRNA from 1 species
GCCGAGCUGGCAUAAGUGCAACCUUCUCUUUUCGAUAUUCAAAAUUCUUUCAGUUCGUGAAGGCUCAGUUCAAAUCGCCAAUCCUUUUUGAAGUUUUCUCUGACUGAAUAAAUCUACUAAGCACAGCACAGGUGCAAGAGAGAGAGGCCGACUAUUUUUUAAACUGAGAAGAGAAAAAGUCACCGCAAUUGAAGGAAAAAAAUGUUCUGCUGUCAACCCAGUGCUUUCCUCUCAAGGGCUCUAGAAUGAAUAAAAACUCUCAACAGAUUCUGAAGUGACAGAGGAAGACCCACAGAAGCAAACAGCAAGAUAACUGGCAAGCAGCAAGGGAGACCAGCAAUCGGACAUCUGGAACAGAUUGGUUUCUUCUGGGAUAAACUUUGCUUAGUAUACAUUUUUAAAUAUUUAUAGCAUAAAUCAUAUUCAGAAUAUUAGAGCUUCAGUUUUAAAAUGUAACGAGCUAUAUUGUGGUACUUGGGAAAAGAAAGAUAAAUUAAAAAUAUCUUAGUGAAAUAAAUAGCUGUGUAUUUGCUUUGCUUCAUUAAAAAAAAGCUAACUCACCUGGAAAACAGUUAAGGCAAGUGCAAUAAAUAAUAUAUAAUAAUGUAUAAGCACUGGAAAUAGAAAUGAUGAUCAACAUAGUUGAUAGGAACUUCGCUCAGAGAAGCAAG